CGCAAGCCUGAUCCAGCCAUGCCGCGUGAGUGAUGAAGGCCUUAGGGUUGUAAAGCUCUUUUGUCGGGGAAGAUAAUGACGGUACCGGCAAGAAUAAGCCCCGGCUAACUUCGUGCCAGCAGCCGCGGUAAUA
rnacentral:rRNA from 1 species